rnacentral:rRNA from 1 species
CGCUGGCGGCGUGCCUAACACAUGCAAGUCGAGCGGAGAAUGCGGAUAUGUUUACAUAGAAGUAUCUUAGCGGCGGACGGGUGAGUAACACGUGGGUAACCUGCCUCAAAGUGGGGGAUAGCCUUCCGAAAGGAAGAUUAAUACCGCAUAAGCCUACAGUAUCGCAUGGUACAGUAGGAAAAGGAGCAAUCCGCUUUGAGAUGGACCCGCGGCGCAUUAGCUAGUUGGUGAGGUAACGGCUCACCAAGGCGACGAUGCGUAGCCGACCUGAGAGGGUGAUCGGCCACAUUGGAACUGAGACACGGUCCAGACUCCUACGGGAGGCAGUAGUGGGGAAUAUUGCACAAUGGGCGAAAGCCUGAUGCAGCCAACGCCGCGUGAGUGAUGAAGGCCUUCGGGUCGUAAAGCUCUUUGAUCAGGGAUGAUAAUGACAGUACCUGAAAAACAAGCCACGGCUAACUACGUGCCAGCCGCAGC